AUACUGAGGGUGCAAGCGUUAAUCGGAAUUACUGGGCGUAAAGCGAGUGUAGGCGGCUAUGUAAGUCGGAUGUGAAAGCCCUGGGCUCAACCUGGGAAUGCCAUUCGAAACUGCGUAGCUAGAGUCUAAGAGAGGGAAGUGGAAUUCCAGGUGUAGCGGUGAAAUGCGUAGAGAUCUGGAGGAACAUCAGUGGCGAAGGCGGCUUCCUGGCUUAAGACUGACGCUGAGGCUCGAAAGCGUGGGGAGCAAACAGGAUUAGAAACCCCAGUAGUCC
rnacentral:rRNA from 1 species